UACGUAGGGUCCGAGCGUUGUCCGGAAUUACUGGGCGUAAAGAGCUCGUAGGUGGUUUGUCGCGUUGUUCGUGAAAACUCACAGCUCAACUGUGGGCGUGCGGGCGAUACGGGGCAGACUGGAGUACUGCAGGGGGAGACUGGAAUCCUGGUGUAGCGGUGGAAUGCGCAGAUAGUCAGGAGGAACACCGGUGGCGAAGGCGGGUCUCUGG
rnacentral:rRNA from 1 species